UAUAUUUUGAAUUUUCACUUUCAGUCUGUCAAAAGUAUUUUUAAGAAAUUAUUGACCUUCUUUGGAAAUUUUCACCUCCAUCAAUUUUAAAUACAUGGAAAUUGUAAUGGAAUACUUAAUACACAUGUAGAAAGUGCUAACUUUUCAGAACUCAAUGGCGUGAUACAAACAGGAUCAAAUCAUCCUUUGGCAACUUUGAGGAAUUAUCCAGGAAAUAUUAGGCAUCCAUUCUGAUAAAAAUUUUAAAUUCCUGGAGCUACUCGUAACAUUGAAAACAAUUGUGUGUCACCAACAAUAGCUACAUAUUUUGCAAUGUAUGUAAUCACUUCUACUAUUGAGCAAUUCCAUCUAUAAAGCUGUAUUUAUUGUUUUAUUAUAGAUUCUUCUAAAUCA